GGAGAAGGAGAAGGAGAAGGAGAAGGAGAAGGAGAAGGAGAAGGAGAAGGAGAAGGAGAAGGAGAAGGAGAAGAGCCCAGCAUUUUUCCUUUCCCACUUUGCAGGUUAGUGAAAUUGCAGGUCUGCCCAGUCCUUUGAUAAAAACACAAGAUCCUGAGCAGGGGGUGUGUGACUCAGGGAGAUUGGUUUGCCUGGUGCAGGGCCUAACCUUUAAUCUGCUUUGAUUGCUCCUUCACAACUUUUUCAAAAGCUCUUUUUCUGCAUUGUAAUGUUCUGCCAAUCAUAAUUUGCAUUUAUGAAUGCAUGAAAAAACUGUUUCCUGUCUCUGGUGGAAAAAAGGAGGGGGAGGGAAAAAAGUAAAGUCAAACUGAGAUUUUUCUUUAAAAGCCUACUACGGGAAAACAAAAGGCAGUUCUAUUCUGGGCACAUCUUUGGAAGCAGUCGCAGCCAGGAGGUGUUGACAAGCUGUGUGCGCGGGGUUAUGCUCCCAGCUCCAUUCGAAUGCCAGCUCUGCAAUCAGGACGACUGGUGAUCCCUGGCUGAGCACAUCACACAGGUCUGAUGGCCACUCCAUCCAUCCAUCCAUCCAUCCAUCCAUCCAUCCAUCCAUCCAUCCAUCCAUCCAUCCAUCCCCAGCCGCACCAGUCAAUCCUUGCUGGGGAGGGUAGUGGCAGAGCCCCCUGAGGUGAAGAACUGGGAAUUCUCCUCUCUCACCCAGCCAUCAAGCACUUGAGCAGGUUCUGGGCGCCGGCGGGGAACAAAAGCUCUUUGGUGGAGCUGGGAUGGCAGGUCCCUGGGAGGAGGUGCUGGUGUGUGUGCAGCAGCUCCCCCAGCACUCAGCUAAUCUCUAUUACAUAUCUACAGACAAAACAGCUACUUGGCACUGUGUGGCGGAUGUCUGCAACUUCUGCCAGGACGCUGAACAGGGGCCAGGAACUUGGGUGGAGCCAGGAGCCAGGAGGUCAUCUGGGGUUGCUGCUCUUUGUUACAGCUAAAUAACGUGAAUGUAUUAAGCUCCUUUCCAUGCACCAAUUUUAUUUUUUUUAAAAUGCCUUCAAUAUUUUUUUUUUUUUCCCCAUUGGGCUGGAUUAGUAUACAAAUAUGCAAGGCAGAGCAGUCUGCUCAUUUGCAUUUAGUAUGAAACCCUGAGUUUGACUUUUUUUUUCAGAAAAAUGAACCGACAUGCUCCCUGCAAAAGGUUUGCUCAGUAAGAACAAUUUGGAUGCUUUGUCAUUUCCUCACUUUUAGACACUGAUCAGACAGUCACCUUCACAAAGCUGUCAGGUGAUCACAUUAUUGUUUCCUAAGAGAAGUUUUUUUUAAAAAAAUAAAGCUGAAAGUGGGCUGAAGCAAAUUGUGGCACCUGGAAUUGCAAAACUGCAGCUGGAUCACAAAACCCUGCUAAGCACAGGAACAUUGCUGGAACCUGUGGGGACUGAAAAAUGGCAAGAGUAAGAUCUGCAUUUUAUACAACUGAUGCUAUUAAAUGAGUUCUGUGGCUGCAUGGAUGGAUCUGCUUAUUCCAAUCUGUUGGAUGCCAGAGUGCAUAAACGUAUAUAUAUAUAUAACUGAGUCAUUUGUGUGGAUUGCCUUAAAACAUCCUGUAGAUGAAAGGAGGUUAAUAGCUCAGCAAUCCAAAUUACAGUUUCUUUCCAUGUCAAAUUACAGAAAAAUAGUUACUUACAUGGGAAGAGUAAACCAUUUACUAUCAAGAAAACCAUGUUUUCUUUUGGAUAUCUUGAGAAGUGUCUGGGUGGAUGAACGUGGAGUUCAGGGUUUCACGGCAAUGCUGAGACUGAUGCUUCUUCCUUUAUUUGUUCAGGUAUUCUUUUACCCAAGCAUGUGCUGUCUGUUGAAUUUCACCAAUCCCCUGCUGCCCUACCUGAGGCUCACAGUCAUGGGAGAUGUGUUGUUGACAUAACCAGGCUUUUUGGUGAUGGCAACAGCCCUAUUCUUCUCCAGACUGGACAACAUAUGUGAACAUCCCCAUCAUGUUCUUCCUUCAGACCCUGUUAUUUUAACCAGUCCUUUCCUAUCUGUGCUGACAGAUAGCACAGAGUAAGAUAGAAAAAUCUCAGGCACUAAAACAUCACAGGUGUUAUCUGCAGUCACCUCUGCUGAGCCUAGCAUGAUGUGCUUGGGCUGGGAUGCAAAAAAUGCCACAGGACACUACAAGAAUCUCAUCAUAGAUAUCCUUGGCAGUCCUGGGGGAGGUUGUAGCACAUCUGCAAGGCCCCUCUGUCAGGAAAAGCUUUGUGUUGCUUCUUUGUUAUAUAAAAGGCAUCACAAGCAUUAUGUGUCACCCACCUGCUGCUCCCGUUCACCCUUGGGAGAGGAUUGCUUUGUAUCAGGCCAAAAAGCGCUUGAGUCUGAGAUACAAAUACACCUGUAGCUCCAUAGGUUUAUAUAAUGAUGUGAAACAUCUUAUUAUUUCUUAAAUAAUAAAUAUGUGCUUUUUACAGUUGUUUUCCCUCUGGAGCCUUCCUGGAUGAAAGGUAUUGUUACAUAAAAUAUUUUAUUUAUGGCUAUGUUUAUCUGGACUGUGAUACACUUUUCCAGAGACAUUAUCUAAUUCUAGCAUCUGAGAGAAUAUUUUUUGAUUGUAACCACAAAUAACAAAGGGAGGAAGAUUGUGGAAAGGUAAAAAGGUUGAUCUUGAUUUGCAGCAAGUGAGCUAAAAAUUGUCUGCAGUCCCUCAAUCCUACAUCCCAGUCUCUUUGUGCUGCUUUGCUCUUUAAUAAUGGCUUUUUUUUUUCUUUUUAAGGACAAGACAAAUUGUCUAGCCACAAGAAUUUAAGCAAUGCUUUUAAUCUGAGUGAAGAAAUGUACUGCACUGCUUGGCUGCCUUUAAAGUCUACUAUUGCAAUAUCUCAGCAAAAGGGAAGGAAAUGCAUUAGGAAUUAUGCUUAGCAAAUGAAAAUGAGGAAAGACUGAAAGAGUUGGUAUUCCCAUUUCUGCCUAUGAAGAAUUUUAGCAAGAGCCCAACUGCUCAGAUGCCCACAGGAUGAAGCUUGGUUUCACAACUGAGCAGCCAGGAGGAUGCAGAUUCCCCAGAGCCAUGUUUAGAUGACGUAGCCUCCAUCUAAGAUGCCACAGAGUCCAUGGGAAUUGGCUGGCCUGCCUAAGGAACCCCAAAGGGUACUUGCACUGGCACAAGUAAGUGAGAGUGCUGGAGCCUGUCAGAAGAAAAUCCUGGCUAGAGAGACCUGUGAGGGAAAGUUUUCUGUUGUUCAAAUAAACCUGCCCAAAUAUCUGCUUUUCUUUCCUCCCCACUUUCUCCCCAGCCACCUAGCAUGGACUCUCUGCUUCACAAGUAAGACAACAUAAUGAUAGCAUUUUUAUCAAUUUUCUCUUUGACUCUUAGCAGAGGAGGCAAGGAGUUAUGAAUGUCUCCCAGGAGAGCCAAGGUCUAAACGUAACAGCCAGAGUCAAGCCACAAAUGUUGGAAGAGAAGAGCUGGCACGGAGUACCAACCUUGCCAGUGGUGGGGACAAAAAAGGAAAAAAGCCUGCAUCGGACCUGCUUUUUUAAUUUGAGACUCUACCAGAAAACAGAGCAGAAUCAUUCCAGGUCCACAUGAAAAAGGAGAGAAUGGAGAUGGAAUAUGUCUAUAUAAAAAGGGUUGGGAAGAAGAAGGAGAAGCCUACUUUUGUACUGGUUAUCUCUUUGCACAACUGAGGAGUCAGAAACAGCAGUAAAAACUCUGCUUCUUCCAUUCUGGAGGCUACAAUGUCCACAAAACCCCAUGCCUGGGUUCUAAUAUAUCACUAUUUUAUUUUAUUGCUGCCUUUGGAAGCCUAAAUUAAAAGCACAUUGUUGGAUCUCAAUGUAAUGCAUGACAGUGUUCUUGUUGUCCACAGCAGAACACAGGUAACCAGGAUCAAAUCCAGCCUCAGAUCCUAAUACCAAAGUAACCUUCCCUCAUGGGAUGGCAGAAGGUGAGAAAAGGGGUGGAAGCAUGGGGUAAGUCCCUGUCUGUAGCUGAGACUUUCCCUGGCUCAGUUUUGCCUGAAUUACUUCAGUCUUGCCCGGAGGGACAUGGUGAUGCCAGAGGGAAACAUCCAAUGCCCCCUUUAGCUGGCAGUGAGAAGGAUCUGUGCAUGUGAAAGAAGGAUUAAGAGGCCUCACCUCCAGGCCUCAUCAAAAGAGAAAGCUACAAAUGAUUUUCCUGGCCUAUCUUGCACACCAACAGUCCUUAGGGAUAAGAGGACUGGUUACUAGACUAAAGUGCUUUCUCUUAUGAAAACACAUGUGCAAAAGUGUUAAACUGUGUGGUGUGGUAUUUUAGUUUCUACAUCCCCUGAUGAAAUGUUUUUUGCCUGGGGAAAACAAAACGGAAGAAAAAUAUCCCCUGGAAAUAUCUGCAUAAUUUACUCCCACACACCUAGUGAGAGAUUUACAAUUGAACAGCAGUUCCCCUGGAACCAUCACCACAUUGUGCUCUGAAUUACACUUUUGUACUCCUACCUGCAAAUUAUACUGUUAAUUAGUUAAUGGCUGUAAAGUGCUUUGGAGAAGAAAAGAACACUCAUUAAACAUCAUUGUUCUUCUCUC